rnacentral:tRNA from 1 species
GCGGACGUGGCGAAAUUGGUAGACGCACGGGACUUAAAAUCCCUCGCCCUUCCGGGUGUGCGGGUUCGAGUCCCGCCGUCCGCACCA